CACUUGGAGAAAGAAGAAAACAAGACACACAGAUGCGAAAAGAACCAGUCAGAUGCAAAGGAGCUGGUUAAAUGAUAACACUGACAACAGCAAGUGCUCCUCAAAGUUCCACGUCAUCAAAAGAAGUGGGAAGAUGGUGCAAAGGAAGAACUCUGGUCUGAACCCUCAUGUAUCCUCCUUCAUUAAAGGGAUAGUUCACCCAAAAAAUUAAUUCACCCAUUAAUAACUCACCCUCAUGUCGUUCCAAACCCGUGAGACCUCCAUUUAUCUCCUCUGUCCCUCCAUUGAAGCUGUGUGUUCGGUCUGCUGUCCAU